rnacentral:rRNA from 1 species
CCUACGGGUGGCAGCAGUGGGGGAUAUUGCACAAUGGGCGAAACCCUGAUGCAGCGACGCCGCGUGAGUGAAGAAGUAUUUCGGUAUUUAAAACUCUAUCAGCAGGGAAGAAAAUGACAGUACCUGACCAAGCAGCCCGAGCUAACUACGAGCCAGCAGCCGCGGACAUAGGUCGGGGGCACGCGGUAACCGGAUUUACUGGGUGUAAAGGGAGCGUAGACGGGGAUGUAAGGCUGGAGUGAAAGCUCGGGGCCCAACCGCGGGAGUGCUUUGGAAACUGUGUAACUGGAGUACAGGAGGGGCAGGCGGAAUGCCUGGUGUAGCGGUGAAAUGCGUAGAUAUCAGGAAGAACACCGGCGGCGAAGGCGGCCUGCUGGCCUGCAACUGACGUUGAGGCACGAAAGCGUGGGUAUCGAACAGGAUUAGAUACCCGAGUAGUC